rnacentral:rRNA from 1 species
CCGGAGAGGGAGCCUGAGAAACGGCUACCACAUCCAAGGAAGGCAGCAGGCGCGCAAAUUACCCAAUCCCGACACGGGGAGGUAGUGACAAUAAAUAACAAUACAGGGCUCUUACGGGUCUUGUAAUUGGAAUGAGUACAAUUUAAAUCUCUUAACGAGGAACAAUUGGAGGGCAAGUCUGGUGCCAGCAGCCGCGGUAAUUCCAGCUCCAAUAGCGUAUAUUAAAGUUGUUGCAGUUAAAAAGCUCGUAGUUGAAUUUCGGGGUUCUUCCGUUGGUCAGGCUAACAAGUCUGUACUAGCGUGUAGAAUCUCUACCUUCUGGGGAACCAUCAUGUUAUUAAUUUAGCGUGGUGGGAAACCAGGACCUUUACCUUGAAAAAAUUAGAGUGUUCAAAGCAGGCUUACGUCUGAAUACAUUAGCAUGGAAUAAUAAAAUAGGACGGUGGUCCUGUUUUGUUGGUUUCUGAAUCACCGUAAUGAUUAAUAGGGAUAGUUGGGGGCAUUAGUAUUCAAUUGUCAGAGGUGAAAUUCUUGGAUUUAUUGAAGACUAACUUCUGCGAAAGCAUUUGCCAAGGAUGUUUUCAUUAAUCAAGAACGAAAGUUAGGGGAUCGAAGACGAUCAGAUACCGUCGUAGUCUUAACCAUAAACUAUGCCGACUAGGGAUCGGACGAUGUUAAAUUUUAUUGACUCGUUCGGCGCCUUAC